CUCCUCUCCAUCACUCUCGCUCUCUUUCUUAUCUCUCUAGAAGAAAAGAGGUGCUGUUGUCCCUCUUUUUGGAGGUUGGGAAUCCGUCUUCUCCAAGCUUGAAAAAGGUGGAGAGCUUCAAGAGGAAGAUCUAGGAGGAAGAACUCUCUCCCACAUUUGGAUUGCAAAAAGAGAAGUAAGUUGGCAUUUUAGGAUUUUGGUUUUAUGAUUUUUCCAAAUGAGAAUAUUUUAGAACCAUUUUUAAAAUUUUUUUGGUGUUUUCAAGAGAGUUAGGUCAUUUCUUUGUUGAAGAUCCAACCCAGGUGGUGAAUAUCACUAAAAAAAAGUUUGAUCUUCCCUUUAUCUUUAGAACUUUUGGAUUAUUAGCAUGUAUUAUUGGUAAUAAUUAAACUAAAUGUAAUUUUAGUUACAUGCUAGAAAAAUAGAAUUUUCGACCCGGGCGGAAAGGCCUCAGCGGCACGGAGGAGUCAGAAAUCCCCUUCCUCCAUGUUAUCCACCUAUUGCACAUUCUACGAGGUGCUAUCGUCAGUUUUUCUAAGUUAAUCUGCAUAAAAAAAGCCAAAACUUGCAAUUCAAAUUUAGCGUGAACAAGAUAAAAUAAAAACAUUACACCAUAUUCCUUCAAACUAUUUAUACUAGGGCCAUGUUUGAAGCACCGGAUUAGCACGGGAUUGGAUUAAACUUAAUCCGAUCUAGUUUUGAUCUGGUAUUUGGGUGUGAGAUAGCAUGGGAUUACUCAGAUCUGGUCUAGCCCAACUAUCUUGCUCACAUGGCAUUAGUCAAUCCCGUGGUGAGGGACGAGAUUAUUCCAACUAAUUAAGAUGUUUCACCUGUCAGCUGGUUCACUUCUCUUUUCUUAUCUCUUCUGCUCUCGUCCAUAGUUAGUUAAUUCGCGAAUUAUUUACGAAUUUUAAAAAAUUUGAAUAAAAUAGUCCAUAUGCAAUUUAUUCUCAAAAAUUCAUAGUAAAACGUGAAUUUUUGGGUUAAAUUUAUUAUUCGCGAAUAAUUCAUGUAUACUGAACUAUUCGUCUAAAAAAACACACAGAAUUUGUGGAUAAAAUUCCUUUCUCCAUUAUUCACGAAUUAUUAUCGAAUUAUUUGCAAAUUAUUCACGAGUUAUUGAAAAACUUCAUGGACUUUUGGAAUAUGUUGAUCGUGAAAAAGAUAAAGAAGAAAACGGCAGUGAACUUUGAAAUUGCUCAUUUUACUUAAUCUGUUUUAUUUUGUACCUCUCUAUUUUUAUAUUUUUUUAACUAUUUAUAUUAAUAGCAUAAAUCUAGAGAAAAAAUUAAAUUUAAUAACCGAAUUUUUUGUCCUAAAUUUUUAAUUAUUGAAUGUAUAAUUUUCAUAUAAAUUACGUAACUAAAUAAUUGGUGAACCAUUUUUUAAGCCGUAUUUUUUAACUUAUUUAAAAGGGUUAAUUUCAUACAUGUCCUUGCAAACAUGGUGAAUAGCAGAUAUAUAUUCUACAAAGUUCAACUUUCAUAAGUUAUCCCUGCAGAAUCCCUAAUGUAUUCAGAUAUGUCUCUACCGUUAAAAUCUGUUAGAGAAAUCUAGUUAACCACAGUUAAAAUACUUAACCAUGAUUAGUUAAUAAGAUAAAAUGGCAUUUUUACCCUUCUUCCUCUUCCCCUUCCUCUUUUUCCUCUACUUCUUCUUCCUCUUCCUCUUCCUCUCCUGCUUCUUCUCCUUCCUCUUCUUCUUCGUAUCCUCAUUUUCCUCCUCCUUUUCUCCUCCUCCUUCUUCUUCGUUGUCGUCGUCGAUGAUCCAAUCGUCGUCACCGUCGUGGUGCCCUCGUGGGCCGUCGACACGGGCGCCUCCGACGGCAUCGGCCGCGCCUUCGCCUUCCGCCUCUUCCUUGUCCUCGUUCGCCGCAACCCCGACAAGCUCCCCAAUGCCGCCGUCGCCGCCGUCACCAUCCGCUCCCACAUCCUGAAGAGGAAGAUGAAAAUGGAGAGGGCAAGGGCAAAAUAGUCAUUUCACAACUCUACUGUUAAAAAAUUAACAGUUCUCUAAUAGAUUCUAACCAGAGGGACAUAUCUGAAUAUAUUAGGGCUUUUGCAGGAAUAACUUAUGAAAGUUGAACUUUGCAGGAAUAUAUCUGUUAUUCGUCAUAUUUGUGGGGACCUGUAUGAAAUUAACCCUAUUUAAAAAUUGGGAUACAAAUUUAUUAUACCUAUACUACAUUUUUGCCAAAUCCGAAUUAACUAACGAUGCUCUCCUGUUUAGGCAUGCGCAUCCUCUACUCCUAAUUCAAAUUUAAAAUUGAAAUCUACAAUUUGAGUUUUAUUGAAAUUCAAUUUUAUAUUAUAUGUUCAAAAAUUAAAUAAAAUAUCUUUAAACCAAAGCUUGUCAUUUAAAGCUUGAAUUUGAAUUGAAAUCUAACCAUUAUGAGGUAGCUAAUGAGACAUCCUUGAUGGAAUGUGCAAUUUGUUCAAAAUUGAAUUCAAAUUUUUUAAGAAUUUCAAUUUUGAAAGCACAAUUUGAAUUUAAAAUUUUAUUUUGAGUUUUCAUUUCAUUUCAAGUUGUGAAUUAUUAUAUUUUGAAAUACAAGUUUGAUAUGAUGUAUUAAGUAACUUUUAAGAAAGAAAUUUUGAAAAGUGAAUUCAAUUUAGAAUUUAAAUAGUUUGUUCUAAGGGGGAAAAAAAUUAGAGUCCAAUCCUGCCUCUUAUCCUAGACACACCAAACAUAGGAUUGGAUUUAUUAUUAUUAUUAUUAUUAUUAUUAUUAUUAUUUUAAGAGAAAGCAAUAGGCAUAAGACCUGCAUUAUAUUAAAAAGAGUAAAAUUUACAUAGGAUUGACUUCUAAUUAUCCAAUUCAAUCCUAACUCUAUCCCUAUCCAAUCCUCUUUAAUUAUCCUAUAUAUCCAAUCCAAUCACAGAUGCCAAAUAUGUCCUAUAACUUUACAUAUCUAAUAAUAGUCAUCCUCCAAUUGAGCCUAUAAAUUAAUAUUAGGAUGAAGUUUGGGCAUGAGCUCUAAAUUUAAGCUCACAUAGGAACUCAAACUCGUAACCUCGUGCUCGGAAGUCAAUUAGUAUAUCAUUAGACAGCUAGCGGUUUGGUGAUUUUGGGAGUGAUUUUGACUCCAUUAGAGUCACAUCUAAAAUUUCAUAUUGUCUGGCAAAUUCACACUACAUGUUAAUGCAUGUAUUAACAGUUUGUUAGAGCAACAUAAACUAUGAAAAAUCUAUAGUCCUAUUGCCUUAUUCUUGUACGAAAUGACCACUCAGUCGUAAAACUGUUGUUGCAUAUAUAUAACUCCAAUCAGUAGAGCAGAAAAUAUCUUUUUCUAGGUGAAAAGAGAAAAAGAAAACAAACUAUCCGUUUCGUUCAUCUUUCUUAGAAAUGAACUCGACUAGUACGAACUAGUUAGAAUUUGAACUCCGAAUCAUGAGUGUCAACAAUUUUAAGUCAUUAACUAAUUUGGCGUUUGGAAGUGAAAUAUAUGCACAGUUGAAUGUCACCGACAAAAUAUUUUCCGCUAACUUCUUCUUGACAGUGGCUCAAUCUCCAAAGAAGCAUUCUAUCGGAGGUUGCUGGGGCGCUCUAGAAGUUUCUACGCAGAUCUCAAAACUAUAGCUGCGGAUGCUAAAGGGUUAAGAGUCCCUUAGAGUUUCUACGUAGGCAAUAAUUAUUGUCUCUUGGGAGCUUGUAGCCUCCCUAUUUGCCAUGUAAUUAUGCGCCAUUUGGCGCCUUUUCAUUUGUAGCCUGGGUAUAGAGUGGCCUAUAUAAGUUUGUGGCCUCCGCCCCCUCAGAAAAUCAGUUGUGCUCUCAACUUUUAUCAAUACACAAGAUUCCUCAACUCUCUCUCUCUCUCUCUCUCUCUCUCUCUCUCUCUCUCUCUCUUAUACUUAGUUUAGGGCGAAUAGUGUUCGCUUAAAUGGGCCAGCAUCCUGCCCUGUGGCGGGAGGCCAUGUGGGCCGAGUCAUGUUCGAAAUGGCAUGAGCCUGGGUUGGGCCGAGUCAUGUUCGAAGUGGCGUGAGGCCAGGUGGGCCGAGUCACAAGAGUACUCGAAAAUAAUGUUGGCUAUCUCCAACAUAGCCGAUGAGGAUCAGCUAUUCUUUUUCCUAGAUGGACUUUAGCCGUGGCCGAACAAGGAGUUUGUGGCUCAAAACGUGAAGGACUAGAACUCCACGAUUGUUUUGGCGGAGAAGUUGCCCGAGCGGGAGCGAACUGAGGGCGAUCGAGGUGAACCACCAAAGGCGAGCGAGGCCAAAGGUGGGGGAGAGCACCACGAUCCAGGGGGCGCGAAGGGGCACAAGCCAAACCAUGAUGCUAGGAGGCAUCGACGGAAUCCCGCCCCGUCGCCUGCAAAGAUCUCUUGCUAUGUUUGCUGUGAGAACCAGUGGGCACGGGACUUCCCAAAGAAGGGCAACCACAAAGGAAAGCAGGUUGCUGCAGUCUAAGCUGUGGAGGACAAGAACGUGGUUGAGCUGCCGAGGAUAGGCGCAAUAAGACUUGUCAUUGCAAUUCGCGGUGAACCAAACGGCGACGAGCUCUGCAGGAGGGAGCUCAUGUUUGUCGAUGUGAUCCUCAACGGGAGGACCAUGUGGGUGAUGAUCGAUGCCGGUGCGACACAUAGCUUUGUCGUGGAGGCGGAGGCCAAGCGGUUGGGCCUCACACUCGAGAAGGAUCCGAGCCGCAUCAAGGUGAUCAACUCUGAGUUGCGGUUAAUCGCGGGAGUUGCCAAAGGCAUGGAGAUAGCCAUCGGCCUGUGGAGGGCAAAGGCUAAUCUCACUGUUGGGCCGCUCGACGACUUUGGAGUGAUCCUCAGGAUAGACUUCCUUGUUUCGUCGAAGGCAGCAUCCAUGCCACACUUGUGGGUGCUGAGCUUCCUGAACGAGCCAGCACCGUGCAUGGUUCUGAUGUGUUGGGGCGAGCUGACGAAGGACCAAACUCUGACAACCCUGCAAAUUUAUAAGGAGGUGAAGUGCGGAAAAGCUGAGGAACUCGAGGAGGAUGACUUGAGCAGCGGCGAGACUGUCAAAUUUCAUGAGGCGCUAAAGCAACCAAUGCCCAAUCAAAAAGUGCAAGUCAUUUUGUCAAGCAGGAGUUCGAGGGGGCCAAGAGGUGUUUUGCGGCGUGGUGGAGUGCGCGUGCGUGUCAUGGAGGACAUGCACACUUGGCAGAUUCUUUACACAGCGGGUUCGCUGGUGCACAUGCUCAGAGAGGCAAGGCACUAGGAGCUGGUGCACGGGCAAAGGCGGAUUGCGGUAGCAAGGCACGGGGCCGAUCAGGCACCAAGACACAACGGACUGUGCGGAAGGCUACAUGGACCGAGAGCAGCUCGGCGUGUGACGAGGGCAUCUGUAUGUUAGGUAGGAGAGUUCGUCGCAGACAAAAUUUUUUCCGCUGACUUCUCUUUGAUAGUGGCUCAAUGUCCAAAGAAGCGUUUUGUCGGAGGUUUUGCUGGGGCAUUCUAGAAUCUUCUAGGGGAUCUCAAGACUAAUGGUGCGAAUGCUGAAGGGUCAAGAGUCUCUUAGAGUUUCUGAGUGGGUAAUAAUUGUAGUCUCUUGGGAGCUUGUAACCUCCCUCUUUACUUUGUAAUUUAUGCAUCAUUUUGCGUCUUUUCAUUUAUAGCCUGGGUGGCAAGUGACCUAUAUAAAGUUGUGGCCUCCAUCUCCUCUCCUUAGGAAAUUAAUUGUACUCUCAACUUUUAUCAAUACACAACAUUUCUCAAACUCUCUCUCUCUCUCUCUUGUACUUAGUCUAAGCCGAGUAGGUUCUAACUUAGCAAGUAGAGAGGUAGGCUUGCUCGCUUCGCGAAGAAAGACGAGCACUGCACGGGCUAAACGAGCGAUUUAGCUUAAGUCCGUAACAGAUAGCUGUGGGGACGUACGGGACAAAAUCUCCACAUGUAGAGAUUUUCUAGAAAAAGGCCGAAUCCACUACCACAACUUGAAGCAUAUAAAAUAUCAAAAUUGCCCUAAAACAAGCUUUGAAAAUGUCAAUGCCAUAUUUUUAUUCUUAAUAUGUUAUCUUUUUUCCAUUGAAAGUUUUAAAAUUUCUUUGUUCUUUUCAGAACAAUAGAAUGGGCAUUUUGAUAAUUUUAGUAUUUAAAUAUUUUACAGCAUUUCACUAGAAUAUCUGAUAAAUAAUUUUCUACAGCCUAUAAUAUUUUAAUUUACAACAAAAUCAGCCAAAUACUCUUCAAACUUUUUCUUAUAAUACAACCUUAUAUCAUAUAAAAUAUUUUUAAACAAUAUUUAUAUCAAACAGCUUGGCCAAACAUGCCUUUAAUAUAACAAGUGAAAAGACUACUAUUUUUAUGUGUCGAAAGAUACUUAAGAGGAGAUUAAAUUGGCAGGUCACGCUUAGAUUGGUGGUAGCCAGAGUUUCCCAUCAAUCUUCAGAUCCUCUCUGAACAUUAACUUACAACUGCAGUUCGUUCCAUUCACAAAAAUGUACAACAUUAACAACUUCAUUUAGUCCCAUAUAGCAUAUACGUAGCCUCGGAAGGGAAAACAUAACUAUAACUAUAUACAUUAUACUCAGACACAACACUGCAAACGACAAUCGAUACUAUUAAGCACACAUCACUCGAUCUGGACAUCGAUAACAUUUCGCUCCACAUUCUUCUUAGGUACAGUAACCAGAAGCACACCGUUUUGCAGUGCCGCCUUGACCUGGCUCACGUCACAGUUAUCCGGGAGCACCACCCGCGUGUAGUAGGAGCUCUCUUUCCACCCCUUCCACCAUGCGUCCUCCGCCUCACCGCCUUCCUCCUCCUUCCGCUCCCCGCGCACUACGAGCACAUUGUCGUCCUCCACGGCCACCCUUAACUCCUCCUUCGACAGCCCAGGCACGUCGAACCUGCAAAACAGCCCCUUUUAUUCCCUUAGCUACGUGUUUGAGUCGAGGAUUUAAUAGUAAAACAAUUUUCUGAAAUACAUUAUUUAAAAGGCAUAACAAUUGAUUAACAUAGUAUUAGAACAACAAGAAUUAAAUAAAAAUUCUGAUAAAUUGGAGGGAGUUAAGAGCGCAAUAGAAGUCUAAAGAGACUUAAAAAGAUCUCGUUCUUUGACAUCAUAUAAAAUAUUCCACAAAAGUUAUUAGAUAGCAAAUUUGGUUUCGAUAUUGCUGUUAAUGAAAAUAUUUUUAUCUAUCCCCACACCAUUACUCAACCGUACUCAAUGGUAGAAAAUGGUAUUACAUCUAAUACUCUCAUUCGCUUGUAGGAAUUUUAGGUCCAUCAAAGAAACUUGAUUAAAUUGUAGAAAACAAAAAUGAGGCAAUUUAAGUCUAAAAAUACUUAAAAAAGGAUCUCGAGAUGGUACUCAAGAUUGAAUACCCAUCAAAACGAAUCUUUUUUUGCCCUUUCAAAGAUUAAGCUACUAGAAAACAGUAUAAUCAGUAUACUCGACAAAAACCUCAUUUUCACUUCCUUGUCGUCCUCCAUAACAUCCCAUGGCGUCCUGACAUCUGACCCAAGCCCUGGAUAUGUCAUUGCAUCCUCAAAUAGCUGAUCCACCGUGUCUAGCAUUUGCCUCACCGUUUUCAUCGGAGAGAAUGGAUCAACCAGACCUGCAAAUUUCAUCACCAAGUUCUUCAGCAAAAGUUUUUCUACGAUCUUCUUUAGUAAUUUAAAUUCAGAAUUCAUAUGAGAAAAAAAAUCUCUUAUAAACCAAAAAUAAUGAUAGAAUUUUUUUUCAAGAUAUGUUUUGAACUAUAAAACCUCCAUUUUCACAUUAAAAAAAAUCAAUUUAUAAAACAUAAAUUUGAUUAUCGAAUCAAUUUGUAGUUUUGUGAAUAAUAAGAAAAAUGAAGCGGUCAAAAAAUGAGAAAUAAUUAUUGCUCUUUUAAAGCUUAAAACUUUUUAGUGUUCUGAUAGUAUAUUAAAGAAUGUGAAAAAAUCAUUAUUUUUCAAAAUCUUACACUUUCAAAGAACAGUGUCUUAACAUUUUUAUAUGAAAAAUAGUUCUUGUACACCCCAAAAAGGGGUGCAUAUCUUAUGCUCACAAUUUUAGGGCUGAUAAAAAUCGAAUUGGUUUCUCGUAAAAUUUAAAAAAAUUGAUGUGAUAAGAAUGAUCUUAAGAUGAAGUUGGUGUAAAAUGUACGCCCUACUAUAGGGUGUAUCUGUAGUAUUGCUUGAAUAUGUCUCCUUACAAAGCUACAAAAUUGCAUAUUUGUCCCCACAAAUUAGUUGCAAAUUAAUUUGCAAGGCAAGUUUACUACCAUUAAUUGCUUCUUAUACUUUGGACUGGCAUGCCCUUAGAAAAUUAGUUUUUCCAAAAAUAUUUUAAGAUUUAUGAUUUGUAAUUCACAUCAAAUGAUAUAAAGUUAAAAUAAAAAUAAAAAUAAUAAUAAAUACUAAUGAAUAUAGUUAAAAAAUAAAAGUAUUUAUUUAAGAAUAAUAAUUAUAUAUUUUAUUCAAUAAGAGACAGCUUUAACCGAUCAACUAACGUAAAAAGAAAAUAUGCCAACAAACUAUACUAUACUACUUUGGAGAGAGAUAUUUGAUAACUAAAACUUCAGAAUAAUACAAAUAAAAUUAUAUACCGAUAAAUAUGUAAUUUUAUUGCUUUUUAGGGACAUAAAUAUAAUAACACUAUUUAAAUUGAUAUUUUUAAAAGUUUAAAUUUUUUAAAAAGUUGAAAUUUAAAAUUUUCAAACUUUAAAAAUUUAUAACUUGUAAUCUUAAAAUUAAAAUUUUAUAAUUUUAAGUUCUAGAUUUUAAAUUUUAAAUUGAUAUUUUAAAUUUUUAAAUUUAAAAUUUGAUAUUUUAUAUAUUUAAAUUUUGAUUAAUUUUAAAUUUAAAAUUUAGAACUUUAAAUUUUUAAAUUUGAGAAUUAAAAUUUUAAUUUUAAUUUUAAAUUUUUAAAAUUUAAAAAUUAUAUAUUUAAAUAUAAAAUUUUAAAUAUAAAAUUUUAAAUUUUAAAUUCAACAUAAUAUAAGGGACAAUAUUAAUAUUUUUUAUUUAUAACUACCAACUAUCUUCUUAUUCUAUCUUAUCUAUCUAAACGCUAUUUUUUUAAUUCUCGAGAACAAUUUAAUUUUUAUUCAAACGCAAAAUUAUUCUAUUCCAGACUUAUACCUACACUUAUACCUAUUUCUGAAAUAGACGAUUCUUACUUAUACUCGAACCAAACGAAACUUAAAGUACAAAGAAAAACCAAAAAAGAAAAAGAAAAAAAGGAAGUAUUUCAGUUCUAAAACUUUAAAAUAUGCAAAUAUAUAUAUUCCCCACGAAUUGACUGCUAGUUGACUAAUAAGUUCUGCAGGUUAAUUUAAUUAGACCAUCAUGUCUUUAUAAGAAAUAUCUCUUUUUAAAAAAAUAAUUAAAUGUUAUAAUUUAUAGUUCUCGCAAAAUAAUAUAAAAGUACAAUAAUACUAAUAAAUAAUUUUAAAUAUAAUAAAGAAAUAAAAAAAUAUAAAUUAUCUGAACUACGAACUAUGUUGCAUCGGUUGUCCAUUCUUUCAAAAUUUUUAUUUUACUAUUCAACCUUUCAAUUCUUUUGAUUAGUCAGUCAAGAGCACUCUAACUUCAUAAUUUACGCUAAUUAUUAUUAAUUACUUACUGCUAGUAUACUAAUUAAAUUUAUAAAGAUAAAUGAGCAUCCAAAUUUUUAAACUAGACGUGCCGUCGAGAAAUCAAAUAGAGUGAAAGAUUACAUGGUAAAAUCAAAGUCUUAAAAGUGCUAAUAGCUAACUUAGAAUGAUCCAUAUAUAGUUCUAGCUAGUAAGUUUUAUAGUUUGGGUCAAUUAAUUGCUUAUAUACUCUAUAAAAAUUUCAGGUUUUUUUUAUUUAUCCCACUUAAAAGAGUAAUAUAAAAAUACCUUUCAACAUUUCAAAUUUUUUUAAAUAUAUGCAUAGCGUAGAUUCUUUUGGUCGUAAACGGUUAGAAACAACUAUUUUUCUAUAAAAUUACUAUUUUAUCCUUUCAAUAUAAUUUUUUACCGUCGCCAGCUUUUCUUAAUUAUCUUUAAUUUAAGGGCAAAAAAUUAUUUUAAUUUUUUAGCCUUUCAAAUAUAUCUUUCUACUGUUACCAAUUUUUCUUAUUUGUCCGUAAGUUAGAAGAAAAGUAAAUAUUUUAAUUUUCUUUUAACUUUGGUAAAAAUUUAACUCUGAUUUAAUCUGAGAUAGUUUAACGGGUAUUAAUAGUAGAGUUAUUUUUGAAUAAAAAAAAUUACGAGUGAUGUAUAUUUGAAACAAAAAAAAAUAAUUAAAGAUAUGUAAAAAUUAUUUUAGAAGUUUUUGAGAGCUAUAUAUAGAUACUUAUUUCUUGUAGUUUUCACCCAAAAAAAAACUCCGGAAUAAAAUGGUCAUUUUAUAGAAAAAAAAAAAAAAACACUGACUCUAACCAGUCACGGAGAGAAAUAAAUUUGCAAACGAAGAAAACUAAAAUUUUGUAAAAAUAAAUAAUAUAAUUCUAUCACUUAAUUUGUAGGGAUCGAUACACAUCCUAGUUAACCCGUAAGAUUAGUUGCUUACCGAAAGGAGCGAGCUCAAAGGCGGAGCGGCGGCGGCCGGGGGUCUUCCUUCGCUCGACGGCGGUGCUGCUGCUCUUGCCGCUGUGAUCCUGGACCUCGACAUUGAGGAAAGGGCUCUCCUGCUUCUCCUCUGCUGCGAGAGCCGUGACAAGGCCACGGCGUUGGUGUCGCCGAACCUUAUAAGAAGAAGAAGAAGAAGUCGGCAACGUCACCACAGACCUCGCCGAGUUCUUCGAACUGAGAGCGAAAACGGGGCAAAGGGAGUACUGAGCCACGGCGGUUGCCAUUUGUCGCGCGGAAAUUAUUAUUAUAAUAAUUAAAUUAAGUUAUAAUAUUCAGAGGGCGAGAAUAAUUAAAUGGAGUGAUAUAUAUAUAUUGGGUUUUGGGCUCUAUAUAUGUAUGUAUAUGUAUAUGGAUAUCCUGCUGGGAUUUUGAUGAGGUCUAUAUAUAACAACGAGACGAGACGAGACCAGACGAGACGAGAAGAGGGGAGAAGGCGAUGAUGUUUGUGGGAGGUUCUUCCCACGUUCGGAAGACGUAAGAAGAGAAAGGUCGAAUGUUCUCGACUGCACUCAGACUACGUUAUUGUCACUAACACGUGGCGGCCGGCUCAGAUAUCUUUGUUUUCUUUUGAGCAAAUGAAAAAUGCCACUGUACACUCUUUAACCGAGAUGGACCCAUCGUCUAAGUUCAAAAAAAAAAAAAAAAAAAAAAAAAAAAACUUUAGAACAUAUUAAUAUUAAAAAAAUAAAUAAAAUUAUUAAAAAAAUAAAAAAUGAACUUAUAUAGAAUUUAUCUGAACUAUCAGACCAUUUUAAAUAGAUUAUUCAAAUUUUUCAAAAAAUUUAUUUUAUUGUCCAAUCUUUUAAUUUAUUUGAUUUGAGUUAAUUAACAGUACUUUUGAAGUAUCAAAUGGCAUCUAGCUAAGAGGAGGAUUGAAUUAGUUGACAACUAAACUUUAAAAUAAAGAAAGGAAAAAAGACAAACAAAUUUAUACAAUACAGAUGAUUUAUCUUGAUUCGGCUUUCCUGCCUAUUGUACGUAGCUCGGGCCUUAAUUCUUCUUCUCGAGAUACAAAUUUAAUCACUAUCAUUUGGCCUUUUGAAAAUGGCAAGGCUAAAGCAAUUUACAGUCACAUUUUACAAAAUUUCUAUCAUAAUUCUCAUAAUAAAACUCACAAUUACAAAAUAAAUUAAGAACAAUUGUGAUUUAGAAAAUAUUCUCUCAAUUUGAAGUUGAGUCUCAAACAAUAUCCAAACUCCCUCUAAAUAUGCUUGUCAUAAAUUAGAAUAGAAGCAUGAUUAAAGGAUAAUUGAUUUUUAAUUUGAAUUUCAACCAAUUGCAAAUGCAUUUGAAUUAAUUUCAAAAUUAUUUUGAAUUCAUACCAUAUUUGCAAAACACAUUUGAAAUUUUAUUACAUUUGAAAAGCUCAUUUGAAAUUAUACUAUAUUUGUAAAACCCUUUUAAAAUAAUAUCAAAAAUAUAAAAUCUUUUUAAAUUUAUUCCACAUUUGUUAAAAAAGCUAUUGAAUUAAUACCAAAAAUAUAAAGCCUUUUUGAAUUCAUAUUAUAUUUGUAAAACUAAUUUAUAUCAUAUUUUAUACUAUUUGAAAUCAUGUCAUAAUAAAAUCACCUUUUAGUAUAUAUACCAUAUAUCAAACCACUUUUGAAUUCAUACUGUAUUAAAAAUAAUAGCAAUUUGACAUUAAGCUCAAAUCAAGCAUAUGUAGUAGAUUGGUCAACUUGAUUCGGUUGACGGGCUCAAACCCAAUAAAAUUGCAAGAAAUCCUUCAAAAUAUUUUUUAACACUUGUAUCUAAUAUGGUACAAUUUGAUCUCGUUUGGGCCAUUUUGAAUAAUUUAAUUGAAUGAUUACUUUUGAUCAAUUUAGGUUCGGCUUGAGUCAUUUCAUAUCCAACUAAAACAUGAAACUACUUGUGACAAACUAAAUGUAAAAUUUGUUUGUUAUCAUCGAAAUUUAUUGUUGGAUAAAAUCCAACAAUCUUUCCUCUUUUUAAUAAGGACAAACAAUUUGAAAAUGUAAUAAAAAUUAAAUAAACUCCACUCCAAUUGCUUCGGCCGUUGAAAGCGCUACAAAAUUUUCGGCAACUACAUAUUGAGCUUCGACCGUUGAAAGUGCUACAAAAUUUUGCCUUUUGGAUUAUCAGGAUACAAGCGAGUGUCCUACGAUAGGAUCUACUUAUACUCUUUCGAUCGACUUUGCCACCCGCAAAGUCGGCAUCGAUAUAACCGACUAAAUCAAAAUUAAGAGCCCAUUCUAGAAUACCACAAAUCAAAGGUUAAGGUACCCUUCAUGAAGUGAAUUAUCCUUUUAAUCGCAGUUAAAUGUAUUUUUUUAGGAUUCACUUGAAAACGAGCAUAAAGACAAAAAAUAUAUAUAAUAUCAGGGCGACUAACAGUUAAAUAAAAUAAACUACCUAUCAUACUUUUAUACAACUUAGUGUCAACUGAUUUUUCUGACUCAUCCUUAUCUAAUUUUGUUGUUUUAUAUAUCAGGGUGUUUGAAAGUUUUGCAUUGUUCACUCCAAUCGCUUAAUAAAGUCACGAACAUAUUUUAUCUAACUUAGAAAAAUUCUUUCAUGCAUUUGUUUUAUUUGAAAUCCAAGAAAAUAGUUUGGUUUGCUAACUAUACUUAUUUCAAACUCAUCCUGCAUCAACUUAACAAAUUCUUUGCACAAGAUUUCAUUAGUAGCACCAAAAAUAAUAUCGUCAACAUAAAUUUGAAUAAUAAGAAAAUCAUAAUUGAAAUAUUUAAUAAAUAAUAUGGUGUCAACUUUGCGAAUCCUAAUUUUUUUUUGAAAUUAAAAAUCAUGAGCUUAGUCUUUCGUAUCAAGCCCUUGGUGCUUGUUUUAAACCAUAAAGUGUUUUACAAAAUUUAAAAACGUGAUUGUCAAGUGUGAUUUUCAAAUCUCGCUUGUUGUUCAACAUAAAUCCCUUCAUUAAUAAAUCUAUCUAAAAAUGCACUUUUUAUAUCCAUUUGAAAUAAAUUUAUUUUUUUUAAAAAAACGAAAGUGGAUAAAAUUUGAAUUGCUUUAAAUUGGGCCACCCGUGCAAACGUUUAAUCAAAAUUGUUAAAACCUUAAGUCACUAAUCUGGUUUUGUUUCGAGUCACAACACCAUCUUCAUUUUUCUUGUUUCGAAAAAUCUAUUUUGCACUAAUUAUAGGAUGGUCAACGGAUCUUUCUAUACGCUAGAUGUAUGCCCUAGAAGCCAAAUAGGCUGACAUAUGUAUUCUUUUUAGGAUAUAAAUUUAUAUUUGAUUUCAUAUAUUAUGAAUAAAUUUGGAUUUUUAUUUUUAUUCGUGUUGUGUACGUGUCUAUGAAUCGUUUAAGAAAUUAAUAAAAUGAUGACACGUAUUCUCGGGAGUUGAGAAUUUGAGACAUGUGUUAUUGAUAGUUAAUUCCUAAAUGCUCCCGAUCGAUGGAUUAUCACCGGGAUGGUGAUUGAUUCUGUGAGAUUGGUGCAUAGGUCGCUUUCCGUUUUGGAUAGAUGAGUCGCGAGUCAACAGUGUGGGGACACGAGAGCUAGCGGAUGUGCAGAUGGUUGUUAGAGAACAAGGGUACUAAGCGUGACCGAUGUAAGAAGUUACUUGGAUGUCUAUUCACUCGUUCAUGAUUUACUCAAUGUUGUAGUAGUGUGACUGGUCCUUUGACAUGCGGUGCCUCGGCUAUUCACAAUAAGGUUACUGUAGUUUGACUGUACAUACACUUGGUCCCUAACCAUUCAGGUUCUUCUGGUGCAUGCUGGCUGCAGUAGGUUCAUUGUAGGAAUAGGGGUGUGCACCUAUAUGGAAUUUAUCUGCCUUGAUAGAUAGGGGCUAUGAGACCCUGAGUAGUCCUAUAUCUAAGAUAUAAUAGGGCUAAAAUUCUUAACCCGGAUUAAGUAUUUUAGGUGGUGGCUAAACCCAAAAGGUUAAAAGAGUUAAGCAUACUAGGAAAGGAGUAGUCCUAGAAUGGGUGACCUCCUGGGACGUUGGAGCAUCACAGUUAAGGGGAGAGAAUGUGAGACCUCAGAUAGUCCUAUAUAUAAGAUAAAAUAAGACUAAAACUCUUAACCUGGUUUAAGCAUUUUGGGCUGUGGCUAGGCACAAGAGGUUAAAAGAAUUAAGCGUAGUAGAACGGGCGUAGUCCUAGGAUGGGUGACCCUCUAGAAAAUUGGGGUGUCACAGUUGGUAUCAGAGCCAAUUACUAACCAAAAGUGUGAGGUAAGUCUCGGUUGAGCCAAGAUUAUACAGCAGGGAGAGCAAGACUCUCAUACUGUUAACUGUUGUAGGUGGAGUGCUGCUUACCAUAAGGUCGGUUUAGGCUAGUGACGAGUCUCACAUCGUCUGGUAUUUGUGAGUCUGAGUCUGACGAGAACGUCACGGCUCAAAAGGGAAAAUAAUGUGAGACCUCGGAUUAUUCUAUAUAUAAAAUAUAAUAGGGCUAAAACUCUUAACCUAGCUUAAAUAUUUUGUGCGGUGGUUAGGUCCAAAAGUUAAGAGAGUUAAGCGUGCUAGGACGAGAGUAGUCCCAGGAUGGGUGACCUCCUGGAAAGUUGAGGCAUCACAGGGGCGUUAGUCCUAUGUGAUUUAUGAGAUCGAGUUUAGAAGAUCUUGGCCAAAAUAGAACAAAUAGCGGAAAGAGUUUCCAAUAUUAGAAACUCGAGUCGAAUAAAUUUGACAUAUGACAAACGAUGGUGUUUGAUGAGUUAUUCCAUGACCUCCCACUAAUCAGGACUUUUAAUAGAAUGACUGUAUCAUACGGUAACUGCAUCAAGAGGUUCAGUAUUACAUUCUAUUGGAAUAUCACUACAUGCUUGUAAGGACUGAGAUUUUGGCAGUGUAGCUAAACUCUCUAUUGACGAUGUUUUUAUGUGUAAUUUAAUUACAAAAGCACUCGUCAAGUUUCGGGGAAAAACGAGUUAGAACGGAGAUUUUACACGAUCUUUAGUUCUCAGUUAAAGUGAAUAGUAAUCUGGUUUUUCGGAGAGGCCACGAAGUAGAGUUGGCUUCCGGUGCGUAUCAUACUCCUUUCAUAGCGAUCCAAUAGCUCGUUUUGAAUGGUUCAGUUAUUAUGGAAUCAAUGGCACUGAUGGAUUUUAGGAUUGAUGCAUGGUUUUCGAGAUAAAGGGAGUUUAUUGGAUUUACACUUAUAUUUUAGGUGUGGUUUUAGAAAGUUGGAGAGAGGAUAGGUUUUGUCGCAAAUCCAUGACCAAACGAGGCGAAACGAAGUUGUGAGUUUGUUGUCACUGUCGUGCUGAUCGCACUGGUGCAGUCCGUUCGCAAAUCUGACGAACAGAUCUCCUGAUAUCGCACGUUGAUCGAGGAGGGGCCAUUUAUGGCAAAACGGUAAUUUUGCGAAAAGCGCGAUAUUUUAUGUACCGUUUUCCAUGAUUUUGAAUGUCGAGGUGCGUACGCGCAUAUUACACGCACUGGCAGGGACUGGGCUAAAAUUAUGAAGCUCGGGAGGGACUUUUCUGCAAAUAUACACCUAUGCAUUUAUAUAAGUGCUAGGGUUUCACAAAGAAAACCCUAACCCUAGUCCACCCUACCUCCCCCAGCUAACCCUAGCCGACCCACUUCACCUGUGCCCACACCGUGCGUGCACCCCGGUCGUCGACGUGCAUCCCCAGCCGGCGGAAAACCUCCCCUCAGCCUCCCACCAGCUCUCUCUCUCUACCUUGCCUCCUUUUUGGCCCAUGAAUCCAGGGAUCAUCAAAUACCUGGGUGAUCACAUUCUCUGGCCGAGACUUCCCCUCCGGCGUCGUCCCCGCCGGCCUCUGCCAUCCCCGUGCGUCGCCGGCGCCGCCCGUGCUUGCUGCGGCCAGCCCAGACUCGACCGGGACCGAGCUCAACCCAGCUUGAGGCCCGCGCACUGCCUCCACCCUCCAUCCGUCGCACCGACCUCUAGGGUCUCCGGCGACCCUCCGCGCGCCACCGCCGCCGUCCCCGAAGCCGCCGGCCGCCGCUCUCACUCUCUGCGGCCGUCCAAAUCUUGUGUAGGCCGAACCUGGGCCCGUUGUGAUAUCCCUGGAGUACAGCAGUUGAGGCUUGUCGACACGACAGGAGAAUGUUGGGACAAGUCUGAGUCGCAUUGGCGCGGAAUAGACGCAAAACGGACUCAGUACAACGCGAGAGCAGGAGAUUAGCCUGAAAACCUACAAAUGUAGGAUUUUUUGCUUGUUGUACCGGUACAACAUCAGUGGUGUACUGAUACACUGUGCAUAUUUCUGCGCAGCUGCUCUCGGGUUGCCAUUUGUACUGGUACAACCGCACGUGUACCGGUACACCAGGGUAGGUGAGAGGGCAUUUUGGUCUUUUCAUGCCUCGUACGUGUCACCUUCUCUCCCAUGGCUAUAUAGGCAUGUAGUUGAGCUGAGAGGGAGGUGUUUACUUUUCUUCUUCUUCUCUCUCUCUCUAGCUUGGGCGAUUCGAGGAGGAGCUCGGGUGGAGUUGGAUCGUCGCCGACAUCGUGCCGCGGAGCCGUUUGAGCGUGCGUUCGUCGUGGUAGCGCCGUGGGGAGGCCGGACGAGCGUGCGGUUACACUUCUUUCGACGUAUCGCCGUGAUUGGACGUGCUUUCGAGGUAGGUUAAUCAUCAAUUUGACUCUAUGUUUUUAUAUAGUCGACAUGUACUCGGCAUGUGUUUUCGCUUAUUGUAAUGCUCAAUUCACUGUUUUAGUAUGAUUAAAAUCUGAAUUGGAGCAUAGUAUAUUAACUAGAGACUCAUACAUGUUGGAUUUGGAUAUGACAUAGGAGAAAACCAGCGAUUUAAACUUGUCAUAUGCUUAAACUAUCGGAUUUAGCUCUAGGAGCCGUAGAUAUACGUAUCCUCGCAGUUUCAGAGCGGUGAAUACCCAGGGUAGUUUAGAUUGCAGUUACGCUCGUGCUAAGAUGCUGAGUAUAUUUUUACAGUAGUAUUCAAACUGUUCUGGACUGUUGGGUGCCAUCGGGGUUGACGGUAGACCCAGAUUGCCGUUUUGGCAUCAGAUUGUGCCGAGGGCACGUGACUUUUGGUUGUUAGACUAGUGGAACCAUGUUUACUUGACUAUAGCCUGUGAGAGCUUGAUUGAGCUCGAUAGAGACUCGCUUGCAUACUUGGUUGGGUAGCGCCCACGAGUGCCACUCCGGAGUCGGGCUUAGUGCUUCUGCAUUGGUGUCGAGAUGUCCUGAUUGAACUUGCUAUCCACGGACUGGUUAAUGUGGAGGUAGCCUUAGCUUCGACAGGCGGGACGGGUGUGUUCACAGUCCCUGGGAUGGGUAUACUUACAGUCCCUAGUGAGAUUGGGUCAGGAUUGACAUUUUCUACAAAUUGUUAGUGUUAGAGUAUGAUAGUGUAGUAGCAUUUAGCUGUAGAUUUGUUCCAACUUUUCUUACUAUCCCAGCUCCCUUCUGUAGAUUUAGUGGGUAGACCGAUGAUUUUGAGGGUGGCAUCCACUGAGGACUACUUGUUUUUACAGUAGUUCUCACCCCCAGUUGUUUCCUUUCGUUUUGCAGAGCCGUCGUUUUCGGCUACUGCUGCUGCUACUGAUCUUGAUCGUGACAAGGGCGUCGCGAGUUAGAGCCCUACCAGACAAGCCAGAGCUAGUGGAGUACCAGCUAUAGGUAUUUGUAGUUUUUGGUUCAUUACAUACUGAUGUUAUACCUCACUAGAGCGAGAGUUUUGUACCUGGAUACUGUGUAUGUACUGAUCCAUUAUUAUUAUAUACUUGUUUUAUUUUUAGCGGCUCUAUACUACUGGUUGUAGUGUUGUAUGAUUACAGGUACAGCUAUCGCUUUGUAUACAGGAGAAAUUUCUUUGUAUACGGCGGAUUUGUCGGCGCGCCCGGGGAACGAGUAAUCCGGAGCGUGACAGAUUAAGCUGGUAUCAGAGCUUAGUAUUAGGUCUUUGGGAGCUAGGAACCUUAAGUUUGGUAAACCUUAAGAGGGCAAAAUGCGAGAUGCGUGAUUUAUCGCGAAAGUCAAUGAUUGAAUAAUUUUGACUCUCCUAGAGUAGAGUGAGUGAUUGAAGGAGCGUCUGUUUCGAUCUAGAAAAAUUAUAUUUGCUGCAGACGACAUAAUUUUGAGUAGAAACAGGGGCCGCCUUCUGGACUUUCGUUUGAUUAGGUCGAGAGUGUUUGUGUUUUAUCUGACCCUCUUUUCGUUUCUUGGCAGCUAUGUAUCGACGUCGUGGUCGACCGUCGUUGCGGGAUCGUGCCGCACCUCCUGAGAUGCCUGAGCAAGCAGAGCCGAGUGCACGACCAGAGGCGAGCGCACCCCCUGACUUGAGGGAGCAGUUGGCUGCCUUGACAGAGGUGACGAGACAGCAGGGGGAGUUGUUACAGAGGAUGUGUGAGAGGUUAGCUCCGCCCCAGAGCACAGUACCAGAGCAGCCAAUUCCACCUCCGUCUACUCCAGUGACAGCACCAGCUGCAGCAGUACCCCCACCAGCAGCAGUACCCUCACCAGUGACAGUUCCACAAGCGCCAGUUGCAGCUUUUGGUGAGGACCCACAGCUGACUCCGGCUGAGCAGGAGCUGAUGGCUAAGAGACUUGCCCGCUUCCGUCGUUUUGAUCCGCCAACUUAUGAUGGCAGUUGCACUGAGGCUUGGAUUGUCGAGGGCUGGGUCAGCGUGAUAGAGAAACUAUUUGAGGAUUUAUUUAUUCCUGAGCGGGAGCAGGUACACUUGGGAGUCAAUUGCUUUGCAGGUGACGCACAUGCAUGGUGGAGGAGAGUGAGGCGAGACUACGGGUUGAUGGCUUCACAGAUGAGGUGGGACGAGUUCUGUGGAAUGCUAUUCGUGAUGUAUUUUCCCAACAGUAUGAAACAGAAGCUCGAGGAGGACUUGAAGAGGAUCUAGCAGGAAGAGCGGACAGUUCAGGAGUACAUUCGGGAGUUCACUCGACUCCUGAACUUUGUUCCGUUUGUGGCUCGAGACGAGGCUCACAGGGUAUAUCUAUUUGAGUAGGGUUUGAGACCCGAGAUCUUCAGGUUUGUCCAGAUGUAGAGGUUGAGGACCUUGGACGCGUCUUUGGAGCAGGCACUUUGGGUUGAGAGAGGUGAUGCAUCGAUCCGUGAGCGAACUCAGUUGCAGGGGCAGAGUCAGGACAGGAAGUACCUAGUUCCAGACGACAAGGGACAGUCGAGCAGCAGGCGUCCGCCGAGACCUCCACGAUUACGCUCUCAGGGUCGUGGGGCUUCGGGGCGUCAGCGUUCUGGGAGACCACACUGGCCUCGAUAGUGCGAGCAGCGAAAGGGUCGAUGCUAUGGAUAUGGACAGCCAAGGUAUUUAAGGGCAACUUGUCCCCGAGCAGCAUCACCAGCACCAUCAUCAGCAUCAGCACAGCCAGGACCUACGCAGUCUUACGGGACACCACCGAGUUACCGCCAGGAGGAUAGAGCAUCUGUGCCGCGUUAGGGUGAGUGGCGACAGCAGGCUCCGAGUCGCAGAGUCUACGCAGCUCAGGUAGAGGACUCUACAGCAGCCGAUCGAAUGGUGGCAGGUAUCAUUUUGAUUUCUGGCAUUAGAGCUCGUACACUUUUUGAUACCGAUGCAUCGCAUUCUUUGGUUAGCCGAGCAUUCGCAUUGUUGCAUAGUCUAGAGUUAGGGUCAUUGUCACAGGCACGAGAGGUGCAGAUCCCUGACCAUGUGUUACAGGUUGCAGAGUGUUGUUGGUUAUGUCCAGUGCAGUUGGAUUUGUUGAUCAUGCCCACAGACCUGCUGGUGCUAGGGCAACUACAAGACUUUGACGUUGUGCUCGGCAUGGAGGAGUUCGCUUUUAGAGGCUGCAGCAGUACAUUGUUUGCCACUAGGAUAUCUUCGGCGAGGGCUCGACAGAUGAUGAGUAGAGGGUGUGUUGCUUUUCUAGCAACUAUUGUAGAGGUACCUACGGCGACUCCAGGACUCGAGGAUAUUCCUGUAAUCCACGAGUUUCCAGAUUGUUUCCCCCGGAGUUGACGACGAUGCCGCCGGAAAGGGAGAUUGAAUUCGUGAUUGAUAUAGUUCCUGAAACUGCACCAAUCUCGAAGGUACCUUACAGGAUGGCACCGGCAGAGCUGAGAGAGCUAAAAGCACAGCUUCAGGAUCUAAUGGAUAAAAGGUAUGUGAGACCCAGUGUGUCGCCUUGGGGAGCGCUGAUGUUAUUUGUGAAGAAGAAGGAUGGGUCACUUAGGUUGUGUGUGGAUUACCGAGAGCUGAAUAAAGUGACCAUCAAGAACAAGUAUCCUUUGCCGCGCAUUGAUGAUCUGUUUGAUCAGUUGCAAGGAUCUUGUGUCUUCUCAAAGAUUGAUCUCCAGUCAGGUUACCACCAACUGAGGGUGAGGGCCGAGGAUAUUCCCAAGACGGCUUUUCAGACUCGGUACGGGCAUUAGGAGUUUACAGUGAUGCCUUUUGGAUUGACGAAUGCCCUGCCGUAUUUAUAGAUUUGAUGAACAGAGUAUUCAAACCGUUCUUGGAUAGAUUUGUGGUAGUCUUUAUUGAUGAUAUCUUGAUAUACUCCCAGAGUGAUACCGAGCAUGAGGAGCACUUGAGGAUUGUGCUGCAACUUCUGAGAGAAAAGAAGUUGUAUGCUAAGUUAAAGAAGUGCGAGUUCUGGUUGCGGGAGGUUGCUUUCUUGGGCCAUGUGAUUACUGCUGUUGGAGUAGCUGUAGACCCGAAGAAGAUUGAUGCUAUUCGGGAUUGGCCCAGACCGAUGACGGUGACGGAGGUGAGGAGUUUCCUGAGACUAGCAGGAUAUUACCGUCGGUUCGUGGAAGGCUUUGCGAAGCUUUCCACACCCCUCACUCGAUUGACUCGAAAGGGGAUUAGAUUCAUCUGGAGUGAGGAUUGUCAGAGGAGCUUCGAUGAGUUGAGACAGGGUUGAUGUCAGCUCCUAUCCUUGCCCUUCCAGUGAUGGGGAAAGAAUUUGUGAUCUACAGUGAUGCAUCGCACAGUGGUUUGGCUGUGUGCUGAUGCAGCAUGGUAGGGUAAUUGCUUAUGCUUCACGGCAGUUAAAGGAUUACGAGAAGAAUUACUCUACGCAUGACUUAGAGCUUGCCGUGGUAGUUUUUGCCUUGAAGUUGUGGCGGCAUUACUUGUAUGGCGAGCACUUCGAGGUUUUCACUGAUCAUAAAAGUCUCAAGUAUCUGUUCACCCAGAGGGAGUUGAACCUGAGGCAACGUCGGUGGUUGGAGUUACUGAAGGACUAUGAUAUUAGUAUUUAGUAUCAUCCCGGCAAGGCGAAUGUGGUGGCAAAUGCGUUGAGCAGGAAGUUAGUGCAGAGCUUGAGUUUGUUGAUUACUCAGUAAAGGCCGUUACUCGAGGAGCUGCAGCGGUUGAGACUCAAGAUUGUGUCCCCUGGGUCUACUGCGAGAUUGAUGUCUAUGGUCUUGCAGCCCACUUUGUUGGAUAGGAUCCGAGAGAAACAGAGUGGAGACCCGCAUUUGUUGAGGAUUCGAAAGCAGCUGAAUAGGGGACAGGCAGAAGGCUUUGCAGUGGACAGUUCGGGAGUACUGUGGUAUAGGGACCGACUGUGUGUGCCUAUGGAUUUAGAGAUCCGAGAGGAUAUUUUGAGAGAGGCUCAUUGUUCACCUUAUACGGUUCACCCCGGUGGAACCAAGAUGUAUAAGGACUUGAAGGCACAGUUCUGGUGGAAUGGAAUGAAGAAGGACAUUGGCAGAUUUGUGGCUCAGUGUUUGACUUGCCAACAGGUAAAGGCAGAGCAUCAGAUACCUGCUGGCAAGCUUCAGAGUCUGUCAGUGCCCGAGUGAAAAUGGGAGCAGAUCACGAUGGACUUCGUCGUGGGGUUGCCUAGAGCACAGGGUGGUUUCGAUGCUAUUUCGGUGAUAGUGGACAGACUGACCAAGUCUGCUCACUUCUUACCAGUGCAGACCACUUGGUCCAGGGAGAGACUCGCUCAGUUGUAUUUGGAUGAGAUAGUGAGAUUGCAUGGCGUGCCUGCGUCGAUUGUGUCAGAUCGAGACCCAAGAUUUGUCUCGCAUUUUUGGACGAGCCUUUAGACAGCCUUGGGGAUACAGUUACAUUUCAGCACAGCAUUUCACCUAUAGACAGAUGGUUAGUCAGAGCGGACCAUUCAGACUCUCGAGGACAUACUGAGGGCAUGCGUCCUGGAUUUUGGAGGAGCGGACCCCUCGCGCCUUGCUUUCCUAAGAUUUGCCAACUUAGGGUUUCUAGGUCCCAACGACUUACAGCUAAGCUCUGAUACCAACUUAACCUGUCACGGCCUAGAUUACUCGUUUUUCCGGGCUCGCUAACAGACCCGCCGUAUACGUAGGUAUUUUUCCUGUAUACGAAGCAAAAAAAUAGAAGUACCUAUAAUACUACAAACAGUAGUAUAGAGCAGUUAGGAAAAAUAAACCAAAUAUAUAAACUGUGGUUCAAUACAUACAUGUGAUCCAAGUAAACAAACACUCGCUCUGGCGAGAUAUAACAACUGUAUGUAAGACCAAAAACUACAACUACCUGUAGCUGGUGCUCCUCUAGCUCUGUGACUCGACUGGAAGGGCUCUAACUAGCGACGCCCUUGCCACGAUCAAGAUCAGCAACAGUAGUAGCCGAAGGCGACGGCUCUGCAAAAACACUGGUAAAACAGGGCGUGAGAACUAUUGUAAAAACAAGUAGUUCUCAGUGGGUACCGCCCUCAAACUCAUCGGUCCACCCACUAAGUCUACAGGGAUAAGCAGGAAUAGUAAAGAAAGCUGGAACAAAUCUACAGCUAUAUGCCACUAUACUAUCAUGCUAUACAUCUAAUCAUCUAUAGAACAGUGUCAACUCAGACCCAAUCUCAAAUAAGGACUAUAAUCAUACCCGUCCCUGAGACUGUGAACACACGCGUCCCGCCCGAUCGCGACAAUACAGCUACCUCCACACUAACCAGUACGUGGAGAGCAAGUCCAACCUGCACGAACGACACCAACGCAAAAGCACAGCGCCCGUCUCCGGAGUGGCACUAGUGGGAGCUACCAAACCGAGUAUGCAGCGUAUCUCUGUCGAGCUCAAUCAGGCUCUAACAAGCAAAAGUCAAAUAGCUAGGGUCAAAACAGGUCUAGAAACCAAACCCACGUGCCCUCGGCACAAUCUGAGACCAAAAAAUAGAAAUCUGAGUCCACUGUCCACCCCGAUGGCAUCCGACAAUCUGAAACAGCCUAAAUCUGCUGUAAAAAUAAGCUCGACAUCCCAGCACGAGCGUAAAUGCAUUCUAAACUACCCCGGGUAUCCACCGAGCUGAAACAGCAGCGAUACAAUCAAACCACGGCUUCUAGAGCUAAAUCAUGUAGUGGAAUCAUAUGACAGGUCGAAUCGUUGGUUUUCUCCUAAGUUAAGUUCCAAGUCCAACAUGUAUCUUCAUCUAAUUAAAUAGUCAUGCUCCCAAUUCAGAUUUCAUACAUGCUACAAUCAAUGAAUUUGAGCUACAACAUGAUAUACAAUAACCGAAAUCAUACCUGUCGACUAUAAGCACUUAGGAGCGAAAUCGAUGAAACACCCACCUCAAAUGCUAAACCCUGGCAGCAAAGAGGGGUUUUGAACCAAUGCUAAUCCCUGCUGGAUCAGCCGAAAUCCUCCAAAACCAGCAAUUAAGCUAUAUCCAAGCUCUACACAUUGAAAUCUAUCAAUUAGCACUAUUUCAGCACUUAAGCUUAAUUUAACCAAAUUGCAAUGCUAACUUUACCUUCUAAACUCUAAAUUCGAAAAUGUAAAGUUCCAAAAGUAGAGUGCUAUGCUUGAAGAUCAAGCUCAGAUCCAAAAUACAGCUUCUUCAAAGAAUUGCAUCAACAAAACCCAUAAGUUCACAAUUCUGCCCAAAAAUACCAACAGUAAAGGAGAACGGAAAAACAACCAAGCUAACCUCAGCCAAAAUCUACAUUUCUAGGCUUUGUGGAUUCCUCUGGAAGUCUAAAAUCCAGCAAACCAAGUUUCACCGCAAUCCGACCUUCCUACGUCGCACACGAGCCAAAACACUGAAGGUCGUCGCUGGAAAACUGCAGAAUUAGCACUCAAGCUGAAUUUGUGGACCUUUGAUGCAAUUUGAGUGAUUUGGAGGGGUUGGAAGGCUAAAGUGGACUUCUCUGUGAAGAAGGGAGGAAAAGAGCAGCAAGGGGGGGCACUCUACCUAUUUAUAGGGUGUUGAUGUGGUCCAAAAAGCCUCAGGAAUAAUUGCUGCAAAGCUGGUACCCCUGCAGAAAUCUUCACUUUCGGGCGCCCAAAACCUAUUUCUAGGCGUCCAAAUCCUCCUGGCUGCACAAAAAUCUCCCCUCGGCUCCUCCGCCCAUGGUGCACUGCGCCCAUAACCAGCUCCGGCGGACCUCACCUAUCACCAGCCACGUGUGAGUGAAAACGAUACUCACGAGGUGAACUUCCGGGCCUACAUCCGGGCGCCCGAAACACGAAUCCGAAUUGGCUUCCAGUUCUGUCCAGUUCUGCACUCAAGUUCUGGGCAACCCAAAACCUAUUAUGAGCGCCCGAAACUGGCAAAACUCCAGUUUUGCUUAUUUGAGUGCGUCGAGUCCAUUUCUGUAUUCAUUUCGUGGAGAAAUGACUCUGACUCAGUCCGACACUCUCCAGAUAUGUCGACCAGUCACUAACACUGAAGCCAAUCCUAUCCAAAACUCAGAAACACUACAAAUAGUGUAAUCGCUGCCAAGUCACACGAAAUGUUGAGUUUAAUGGUAGCGGGUGACUCCUAGCACAAGUCAGUGUGUUCCGAGACAGUUCGUGGGUCCAGGCAGAGUCCCGGUGCGAUUUUCGAGACUUCCGACGAGUUCGGCAAUCAAUUUUGGAAAACCAAUUUCCGUAGGGUUAUUGGUGAGGAUUGUGAGUUAGUAGUACAUGUUGAUGGGUUGGAUUCUAACCCGGUGGACCCUUCGUAGGUCCGGUUAUUUCGUCUCCGCAAUCGUGAGACCAGUGCUGUAAGGACUGAGAUUUUGACAGUGUAGCUAAACUCUCUGUUGAUGAUGUUUUUGUGUGUAAUUUAAUUACACAUGCACUCAUCAAGUUUCAGGAGAAAACAAGCUAGAAUGGAGAAGUUACGCGAUUAAUACUAAUCACUUAAAGUGAAUAGUAACCUACUUUUCCGGAGAGGCCACGGUGUAGAGUUGGCUUCCGGCGCGUAUCAGACUCCGUUCAUAGCGAUCCAAUAGCUCGUUUUCAAUGGUUCGGCUAUCCUGGAACCAAUGGAACUGACGGAUUUGGGUUCUGAUGCAUGGUUUUCGAGAAAAAGGGGUUUAAUUGGAUUUAUAUAUAUAUAUGUGUGUGUAUUGUUGGGGGAUCGAAAAGAGGGAUGGUUUCGUUGCAAAUCGGCGAUCAAAUCGGAUAAAACGAAAUGCUAGGUUCGAUGCCCCAGUCGUGCUGAACGCGCUGGCGCGAUCCGUUCUGAAAUCUGACGGACGGAUCUUUAGGAACCGUGAAAAGUUCGCUGAGGGGUUGAAUUGGCAAAAACGGAGGUUUCGCGAAAAUCCCAAUAUUUUAUGCGCCGUUUUGCGCGAAUUCGAACGUCGAGGGACUUGCGUGCAAAGUGCACGUGCUGGCAGAGGACUUAGUUGAAACUAGUGGACAGUGUGAGGACUUCUCUGCAAUUAUACAUCUAAUAUAAAUAGGGUUUUAAGGUUUCAACCAUGGAAACCCUAACCCUAGUCCACCCUACCUCCUUCAGCUAACCUUAGCCAUCACAGCAGCCCUCUACCCUGCCGUGCGCACGCCCCAGCCACCGGCGGACACCCUCGGUCGCUGGAAAAGCAACCCCGGCAAGCCCUCAACUCCUCUCUCCCUCCACAUUGCCUUCUUCUCGACUGUUGAACGCGGGGGAGCAUCUUAACCCUUGGAUCUUUCACCCCUAGGCCGAGGCCGAUCUCCGGCGCCGUCACCGCCGUCCCCGUCGUCAGCGCACGUUGCCGGAGGCCCCCUAGCUCCCUACGGGCACCCGCGGUCAGCCUAGACCGAGCCUGUAUGAUCUCUGCCUCCGCGCACCGCCACCGCUCCCCAUCGGUCGCGCCACCCUCCUUGGACCUCCGGCGACCUCCCGCACGCCUCCUCGCUGUCCCCGCGCGCCACCGGACACCGCCCGGGCUCCUUAUGGCGGCCCAGACCUCGUGCGGGCCGAACCUGGGCCCGCACUGUCUCCGUGCGUCGCCGCUGCCCAACGCCGAGCUGGCCACCUCCCUCUCGGCCUCCGGCGACAGAUCGUCGUCGCCCCGAGCUCCUCUGGUCGCAGCCCGGCCGCCGUCGCCCUCGAACCAGAGAGCUGCUUAGCGGAUUUGAUCUUCUCCGCCGCGCCACUGGCUGCCACCAGCCGCCGGCCAGUACCUGCCCCGAACCCCUCCGACUGGCCGCACCCUUCCCCGGCCGGAGCGCCCACCGUCCAGCCGCCGGCGACCAACCCUAGCUCCCACUGCUCCGGUAAGGCUGUUUUUAAAUUACAGCACACAGUUUGGGGUUUUCGGUCAACUUUUCAGUGAUCCGAGGGCACCCCGAUGAUGGUAGAAGUGAGCACGAUCAUCCUCAUUUCGUGCUGAACAUCGUGCUCACCUCCGUUGGGGUCAACCGUGCCCCGGUUUGCACGUUAGAAGCACUCUUUUCGCUGUGCGUGCUGUUUCGCUGAUCGUCGCGUCGAUCGUGCGCUUGCCACAGUGACCGGCAGUGCUCCGAAGGGUGAGCAUGGCCUUCGGUACGUCGAGACCUGCCAGCAGGUGUCUCGGCUUGGCUGAUUGACCUCUGGUUUGCGUGAACAGACCAUAAAAGCCCAGAAAUCAAAUAAAAUAAUGUGAUUUCAUGGAAUCGAGAGGGCUUUUAUGCAAUUGUGUUGGUUGUGGUCACUGUGGGCAGCGUUUGUAGGCUGUGGGUGACCUCUGGACUGAUUGUCCAAGGCCCCAAGCACUUAUGGAAAUUGAAAAGUGAUUUCCGAUGCGUUUGUCGGCAAAAUCCGCUGGCGGAAUGCGUUUUCGGUUUAGAAUUAUUCCGACGGUGCCUGGUGAUGUUUUGUUGUGUUGCUGAGCCUUGUUGGCAGGUCACGCGCAUCGUUUCGGGGGUUCGAAAAUGACGGGUGAGCGACGGUGGAUUCCGGUGUCGAAAUUAACACUUCCGGGAACCUGGAUCGGAACGAUUAUCCGACGAUAAUCGUUUCGACGUGAAGCGGUAUGUUUGCUGCCAUGUCACACAAAUAUUUGUAUUUAGUGGCAGUGGGUGACUCGUAGAGUGAGUCGGUGAGUUCCGGGACAGCUCGUGGGUCUCGGCGAAGUCCCGGUGCGGUUUUGAGACUUCCGGCGAGUUACGGUAGUCGGUUUUGGGAAAUUGAUCUCCAUAGGAUUAGUUGUGGGGUUGUGGUUUUAGUGUUUGCUAUGUGUGGGUUAGACUUUAACCUGGUGGACCCUUCUUAGGUCCGGGUGACUUUCUUCCGCAGUCAGGAGACAGAUGCAACAUUCGUAAAGGUGGGUACUUCGAUCCGAAGUUGGUACAGUGGUGCACGCUCGGUGAUAUCCUCUUACCUUGUUCUCCUGUGGUUAUUAUUGCAUAUUAGAUAUUGAGCCUUGCACCCAUGUUGUUUUCAUUGUACUCCACUCCGUUGUUUUCAUGUUUAGUAUCAUUAGUAGGAGUAGAGUAGUUAUACCUUAUUUUUUUGUUGCUCUACUUAGCUGUUCUGCAUAUCCUGUUUCAUGUUUAGAGUACAGUGGUUUUAUAAUUUCAUGUGAGACCGGUGACCAAGUUAGUCGGUUCUUGUAUCUCGUAUCUAUGACCUAUUCGGUCGGUUCCUUGACUUCUGUUGUUCGAUAACCAUUGAGGUCGGUAUACCCUGAGGGGUGGGAUUGUCGGUUAGUUGCCGACGGAUAAUUAUAGUUUACGCAGAUCCAUUAUUUGAUAUGUUUGUGAUAUAGUCAGUCAGUUCGUGACUCUUGUCGUUUGAUGACCUAUGAGGUCGGUGUACCCUGAGGGGUAGGAUUGUCGGCUAGUGGCUGACGGUAGUUCUGAAUUUUAGUGAUACAUGAUGUGACAUUAGUGUGAUUCAUUUGGUCGGUUCUUGCGUAUAUACUUUAGUUGACCUAUUGAUCAGUACUUGCAUACUUUUCAGAGGAUGUUGAGUUUUUCAAUCCUAGUUGACCUGAGUGGUCGGUUCUUGUGCUUCCAUACAGUUUGAUGACUUAUUGGUCGGUUUGCCCCUAUGGGCGGUGAUUGUCAGCUGGUUGCCGACGGUUGGCCAUUGAGUAUAUCAGCAUUGAUCGCCCUAGACUCGUUUGCAUUUCACGAACACCAGCGGUCUGAUCCACCGCGGCUAGAUGUUCUUUUCCGAAAAAAUGGUUGCAGGUGUCAACCCGUAAGCCCAAGAAGGGUUAUAUGCAUGGUAGAGUAGCAGUGGGCACACGCUUGAGGUCUGCGGUGCGGACUAACUGAGCACAGAUUUCAGAUUGGGUAUAUUUGGUCUACACGUCUGGUUGACGCAUAUGUCUAUAGUAGCGAUUGUUGCAUGCAUACUUACAGUUCUUUCUUUACACUUGUCUUACCACUAUAGUUUUGAUAUCCAUGUAUGCAUUCAGUUCUUCUUUACAGUAGCGGUAGUUAUAUAUUCUGUUAUUGUUCUACUUUCUUUCAGUUUAUGGCUACUGUAUUUGGUUAUCUGCUCAUGACCUUAUUUAUCUCUUCCUGAUCCGGUGAGUACUCUUCGCUUUCGUCGGCUUGCAGUACCCACUUGUAGGGGAGACAUGUUUACAUGUUCUCACCUCCCCCACUAUUUUUCAGGUACUACGGGCGGUGAGGGUUGAGACGAGACGUGAGACACGUUCGUAGCGGUCAAUAGAGCUUCCAACCCGGUUUGUUUUGUUUAGUUGCUACCCUCUUUAUUUCUGUUGAUAUGACUUAAACAUUAUGGUUCAGUUGGCUUUCAUUGGUUAAAUGUGAUUUUGGUAAAUGAAUUAAAGAACUUAUGUUUUCUUUGAGAUGAAAAUAAUUUUCUACCCCUCGUGGUAGCAUGUUUUAAAGAAAAAAAGUUUCCGUGUGGGAAACGGUUUUAAAAUUUUUUUUUUGUGAUUUUCAUGACUUAGUAUUUCGAAACGAGUUUCCGGCUAGAAAACAUUUUAAACUAAUAGUUGUGGUUUUGUGGAUACUUGUUAAUUGAAACAGAUGUGGUUGUGAAUAGUGUAUGAUUAUCUGUGGAUGUUCAUAUAUGUGGUUGUUUUUGUUAUAGUGAAAUUGUAUCUUGUACUUAUGCGACGUCGUGCAAAUACAGGGGAGACUCUGCUCGUGUGAACAGUGGAUUCCCUAUAUUUAUGACGGAUCUGGCAUACCCUUGGGUCAGAUUUUUCAAAAAAAAAAUUGGACGCUUCCGCUAUGCUUUUAAAUCAAAAAGGGACCCCGGGUCAUGACAAGUGCCAGAUACGUACAGGUGGGUGCUUCGAUCUCAAGUCGGUACAGUGGUGUACGCUCGGUGAUAUCUUCUUACCAUUGUUCUCCCGUUGUUACUCUACAUUCAUUUACUAUUUGUUGAGCCUAGCACCUAUACCAUUUUCCUAGCACCUAUACCAUUUUCCUCUACUUAGCUGCUUUACAUAUUCUGUAUCAUGUUUAGAGUAGAACGGUUUUGUAACUAUUUGUGAGAUUGUGACCAAGUCGGUCAGUGCGUUGCAUCUGUUUCGUGACCUAAUUGGUUGGUUGUUGUACUCCAUAUCUAUGACCUGUUCGGUCGGUGUACUGCAUUGGUAUCGUGACCUAAUUGGUCAGUUUGAUUACUUGAUGACCUAUACGGUCGGUAUACCCUGAGGGGUAGGAUUGUCGGCAAGUGGCUGACGGUUAGUUCCGGAUUUUACCGAUACAUGACGUGUCGUCCUUGUGACCUAUUGUCGGUUCUUGUGCAUAUAUAUUAGUUGACCUGAGUGGUCGAUACUUGUUUACCUUCGGAAGGAUGUUGAGUUGUUCCAUCCUAGUUGACCUGAGUGGUCUGUACUUGUAUACUUUCGGAAGGAUGUUGAGUUGUUUCAUCCUAGUUGACCUGAGUGGUCUGUAUUUGUAUAACUUCGGUAGGAUGUUGAGUUGUUCUAUCCUAGUUGACCUGAGUGGUCGGUACUUGUGUUCUUUACAGUUCGAUGACCUAUACAGUCGGUAUACCCUGAGGGGUUGGAUUGUCGACUAGUUGCCAAUGUUUAGCUAUUGAGCAUAUCAGCAUCGAUCGCCACUGCUCGUACGCAUUUCACGAACACCAGCGGUCUGAUCCACAGCAAGAAGGUGUUCUUUUUCGAAAAAUUGGUUGGGUGUUUCAGCCUGUGAGCCCAAGAGGAGUUAUAUGCUCUCAAACCCAAGAGCUCAUGCUGAGGUCAUGGGCCUGAGGUGUUGCGGACCAAUAUGGCUUGUUUCUAUUUAGAGCAGUUGUAGCAUGGGCCUGAGGUGUUGCGGACCAAUAUGGCUGUUCCAAAUUAGGUAUUUUGGACUCGUUGUCCAUUGAUGCAUACAUACAGUAGCCGUAGCUGUGCAUUUGUAUAUCCUGUUCAUUUGUUAUCAUUGCUAUUGUAUUUCACUUACCCAUAUUGUUGUUUAUCCUUCUUGACUGGUGAGUAUCCCUCGCCCUUGUCGGCUUGCGGUACCCACUGAGAGGGAAGACAUAUUUUCAUGUUCUCACCCACCUACCCCCAUUACAGGUGACGUCGCGGGCCCUAGUGGGACGGUUCGUGAGGAGCGAGUCUAGCGAUCGAUAGUGCCACCGUCCCGUUGUUUGGUUAAUUCUCAAACUCAACACAUUUAAAUAAAUGACUUAGACAGUUAAUUGGUUUGGUGACUUAUCACUUUUGAAUUCAUAUGGAUUUAUGAAUGUAAUAAAGGAUUUGUGGAUUUUGUGAAAUAAAAAUAAUGUUCUACCCCUCGUGAUAGCGAGUUUUAAAAGUAAAAGGUUUUCGUGUGGGAAACAGUUUUUAAAAAUGUUUUCUCGUAGUUUUCAUGACUUAGUAUUUCAAAACGAGUUUCCGGAUAGAAAACAUUUUAAACUAAUAGUUGUGGUUUUAUGGAUACUUGUUAGUUGAAACAAAUAUGAAUGUGAAUGGUAUAUGAUUAUCUGUAGAUGUUCAUAUGUGUGGUUGUCCUUGAUAUGGUGAAGUGUAUAUAUUGUACUUGUGCGACGCCAUGCAAAUAUAGGGGAGACUCUGUCCGUGUGAAUAGUGGACUCUCUGUAUUUGUGGCAGAUCUGGCAUACCUUGGGGGUCAGGUUUU
rnacentral:lncRNA from 1 species